GAUGAACGCUAGCUACAGGCUUAACACAUGCAAGUCGAGGGGAAACGAUAGAGAAAGCUUGCUUUUUCUAGGCGUCGACCGGCGCACGGGUGAGUAACGCGUAUCCAACCUGCCCAUCACUUGGGGAUAAUCUUGCGAAAGUAAGACUAAUACCCAAUGACGUCCAUAGACGACAGCUGAAAUGGAUUAAAGAUUUAUCGGUGAUGGAUGGGGAUGCGUCUGAUUAGCUUGUUGGCGGGGUAACGGCCCACCAAGGCGACGAUCAGUAGGGGUUCUGAGAGGAAGGUCCCCCACAUUGGAACUGAGACACGGUCCAAACUCCUACGGGAGGCAGCGGUGAGGAAUAUUGGUCAAUGGGCGAGAGCCUGAACCAGCCAAGUAGCGUGCAGGAUGACGGCCCUAUGGGUUGUAAACUGCUUUUAUAAGGGAAUAAAGUGAGCCUCGUGAGGCUUUUUGCAUGUACCUUAUGAAUAAGGACCGGCUAAUUCCGUGCCAGCAGCCGCGGUAA
rnacentral:rRNA from 1 species